rnacentral:rRNA from 1 species
CCUACGGGGGGCAGCAGUGAGGAAUAUUGGUCAAUGGGCGCGAGCCUGAACCAGCCAAGUAGCGUGAAGGAUGACUGCCCUACGGGGUGUAAACUUCUGUUAUAAAGGAAUAAAGUGAGGCACGUGUGCCGUUUUGUAUGUACUUUAUGAAUAAGGAUCGGCUAACUCCGUGCCAGCAGCCGCGGUAAUACGGAGGUUCCGAGCGUUAUCCGGAUUUAUUGGGUUUAAAGGGAGCGUAGCUGGGUUGUUAAGUCACUUGUGAAAGUUUGCGGCUCAACCGUAAAAUUGCCAUUUAUACUGGCAGCCUUGAGUACAGUUGAGGUAGGCGGAAUUCGUUCUGUAGCCG